UACAGAGGUCUCAAGCGUUGUUCGGAUUCAUUGGGCGUAAAGGGCGCGUAGGCGGCCUGGCAAGUGGAAGGUAGAAAUCCCUCGGCUUAACCGAGGAACUGCCUCCCAAACUGCUUGGCUCGAGACCGGGAGAGGUGAGUGGAAUUCCCAGUGUAGCGGUGAAAUGCGUAGAUAUUGGGAGGAACACCAGUGGCGAAGGCGGCUCACUGGACCGGUACUGACGCUGAUGCGCGAAAGCGUGGGGAGCAAACGGG
rnacentral:rRNA from 1 species